UGAAGAAACCGGCCGCCAUCUUACUGUACCCACAACAGUCGCCGCAGCGAUCAUGGCAACUUCUUGCAAUUACGGUCGUACCAACCGUACUGGCAGGGUUACAGGGCCUAAAUUUAUACAGGUUUCGUCAUGGGGGCUACCUAGUGAAUAAUCUGUGCAGUGUGAUACAGCUGGGUGUACAGGUUACUUCACAGCUGCCUCGACAUACUCAAGAAAUGGGUGCAGAACCUGCGUAAUGCC